CAGUCGCCACGGGAAUACGAAGGGUGCAAGCGUUACUCGGAAUUACUGGGCGUAAAGCGUGCGUAGGUGGUGGUUUAAGUCCGUUGUGAAAGCCCUGGGCUCAACCUGGGAAUUGCAGUGGAUACUGGAUCACUAGAGUGUGGUAGAGGAUAGUGGAAUUUCCGGUGUAGCAGUGAAAUGCGUAGAGAUCGGAAGGAACAUCUGUGGCGAAGGCGACUAUCUGGGCCAACACUGACACUGAGGCACGAAAGCGUGGGGAGCAAACAGGAUUAGAUACCCCUGUAGUCCCUGUCUCUUAUAC
rnacentral:rRNA from 1 species